ensembl:snoRNA
CAUAGUGAAGUCAAAUUCAGCCCCAGUCCCAUUACACCAGUAACUGACCCAAACGGCUGCCACAUGCCCUAGAACCCGGGGAUAAGUUUGUCUGCAGACAGGG